GCCCGAAGCCGAUUAUCUAACCUUUUGGAAGAAGUCGUCGAAGGUGGAAUUAAUAACUGGGGUGAAGUCGUAACAAGGUAGCCGUAUCGGAAGGUGCGGCUGGAUCACCUCCUUU
rnacentral:rRNA from 1 species